UCGAGAAUUUUUCUCAAUGGGGGAAACCCUGAAGGAGCGACGCCGCGUGGGGGAUGAAGGACUUCGGUUCGUAAACCCCUGUCACCUGGGAACAAACGUUUCAACCUAACACGUUGAAGCCUGAUAGUACCAGGAGAGGAAGGCACGGCUAACUCUGUGCCAGCAGCCGCGGUAAUACAGAGGUGCCAAGCGUUGUUCGGAUUUAUUGGGCGUAAAGGGUGCGUAGGCGGUUGUACAAGUCGGGUGUGAAAUUCCGGAGCCUAACUCCGGAACGGCAUUCGAAACUGUACAGCUAGAGAUCUGGAGAGGUGAUUGGAAUUCUCGGUGUAGCAGUGAAAUGCGUAGAUAUCGAGAGGAACACCAGAGGCGAAAGCGAAUCACUGGACAGAAUCUGACGCUGAGGCACGAAAGCUAGGGGAGCAAACGGG
rnacentral:rRNA from 1 species